rnacentral:rRNA from 1 species
AUUGAACGCUGGCGGCAUGCCUUACACAUGCAAGUCGAACGGCAGCAUGGAGAGCUUGCUCUCUGAUGGCGAGUGGCGAACGGGUGAGUAAAGCAUCGGAACGUACCGUGUAGUGGGGGAUAACGUAGCGAAAGUUACGCUAAUACCGCAUACGCACUGAGGUGGAAAGCAGGGGAUCGCAAGACCUUGCGCUAUACGAGCGGCCGAUGUCAGAUUAGCUAGUUGGUAGGGUAGAGGCCUACCAAGGCGACGAUCUGUAGCGGGUCUGAGUGGAUGAUCCGCCACACUGGGACUGAGACACGGCCCAGACUCCUACGGGAGGCAGCAGUGGGGAAUUUUGGACAAUGGGGGCAACCCUGAUCCAGCCAUGCCGCGUGAGUGAAGAAGGCCUUCGGGUUGUAAAGCUCUUUCGGCCGGGAAGAAAUCGCACAGGCUAAUACUCUGUGUGGAUGACGGUACCGGCAUAAGAAGCACCGGCUAACUACGUGCCAGCCGCCGCCGUAA